AAAAAGUUUUGAAGUUCAGAUUUUUUCGUUUGAAUCACUUUUUUUUUUGAAGCUCAAAAAGUUUUGAAGUUCAAAUUUUUUCGAUUGAAUCAUUUUGGAACAAACGUACCGUGGUGGGCGGGUGCUUCUCUAUUGGUCAGACAUGUUUGAUUGACAAGUGUCUACACCAACGACGUCUUUCUGACAAAGAAGUCUUGUUCGGCACUCCCCAGGCCAGACAGCUUUUUACCAGCAAGAGGGAACAGCGGUGAAGUUGUCGAAACCUACAAUGAACAGUAAAGCAGUUUGACUGAGGUUGGAGUGCUAGCAAUAGCUCAUUUCCAUCGAACCGAGGAUCGUCGUUUCUUCAUAAGGCGGGUUAGUUCAGGGCGGAGUGGCAGACCAUCUAUUGUUACCAGAGAGCACAUAGACGUCCUUAUGAAGCAAGAACAUACAAUCAAAAAAAAGGCAAAAAUGAUCGGAUGUUCCUCGUCGUUUUUGAACAACAAAUCAAAGCUGGUGGACCUACACAUAAGAGGAAGACUGUCUGCCUUAGAUGACAAUCAGCUGCAAGAGCGUGUGAGCACAUUGCAGGACCAGUAUCCAAACUCUGGGCAUGAGGUUUG